CCUUCGAUAGCUCAGUUGGUAGAGCGGUGGACUGUAGAGUGAUAUACAAAUUGUAGACAUCCAUAGGUCGCUGGUUCAAAUCCGGCUCGAAGGA
rnacentral:tRNA from 1 species